AACGAACGCUGGCGGCAUGCCUAACACAUGCAAGUCGAACGAGACCUUCGGGUCUAGUGGCGCACGGGUGCGUAACACGUGGGAAUCUGCCCUUUGCUUCGGAAUAACAGUUAGAAAUGACUGCUAAUACCGGAUGAUGUCGAAAGACCAAAGAUUUAUCGGCAAAGGAUGAGCCCGCGUAGGAUUAGGUAGUUGGUGGGGUAAAGGCCUACCAAGCCGACGAUCCUUAGCUGGUCUGAGAGGAUGAUCAGCCACACUGGGACUGAGACACGGCCCAGACUCCUACGGGAGGCAGCAGUGGGGAAUAUUGGACAAUGGGCGAAAGCCUGAUCCAGCAAUGCCGCGUGAGUGAUGAGGGCCUUAGGGUUGUAAAGCUCUUUUACCAGGGAUGAUAAUGACAGUACCUGGAGAAUAAGCUCCGGCUAACUCCGUG
rnacentral:rRNA from 1 species